UUUUUUUAUCUGUCGUGCUAAUUUUGGUUGUUUGAGUCAUUUGACAAUUGACAGGGAGUCAGCGCAGAACAGGGGGAAUCAUCAACUUUGGGCUUGCAGAUGAUUGGGAAAGAGGGCACCAGUUCGAAAACAGUCAUACAAAGACCGUAUCAGAUUAAAGCUCCUCAGGAUGGGGACGCCAUUGAAUGGGUGUGAUUAAGGGAUAAAUAUCCGUAAUUGAUUUUUCAAAAGAAUUUUCAAUUUUGGGAACGUAGGUAAAUUAUACAAGUAUUUAAUUCUACUGGGGGAUUGGUGGUAAUAAUUUAGAAAAUUAUAGGAGUAUCUUAAUUGCAUUUCAGCUAUUUGAUAUAACUAAGGGUAAACAUUUUUUUAUACUCUAUGGAUAAACAUUUGGCUGUAGAGAUGGUUUAAGGAAUUUUGGCUGGAGCCCUUUGCUUCAGAUUCAUAAGAACUUCCUGGAAAUAUGAAGUUUUGGCACUUCUUUAAACAGGAA